AGGUAGGGAGAUGGUUGAAGGUCUAUGCCUUGAAUUUUCAGUACCUCCAGCCGCUAUGGUCCUUUUUAUGUACACUAGUUUAGGUUAAAUCUACAACCAAAGAAGGAAUUUGUGUUAACUGACAAAUUCCUUCUCACCAUUUAUUGUUAGACUAAACUCGGAGGAUAGGUCCUGGUCCGUCCUGUUCAUCACUGUAUUCCUCCCUUCUAGAACUGGGCUGGUGAAUAAUUUUACUAUUUUAAUGCCCCUUUUAUGUCCCCUUGUCCCAUAUAUAGGACGUCUGUAAAAAGUUCAAUUGAGCAACACUAAGUUGUUUUUUUUUUUUAAUUUUUUUGAGACAGGGUCUCACUAAGUUGCUUAGAACCUCCCGAAGUUGCUAAGGCUGGCCUCAAACAUGCAAUCCUCCUGCCUCAGCCUCCUGAGUUGCUGAGAAUACAGGCGUAUGCCAUUGCACCCAGCUCUCAAUUUAAAUUUUAUAGGUGUCCUAUAUAUGGGGCUCAGGGGACACAAUGGGUUAAAUGUUUUCUGCAACACGUACAAGGUACUCAUGGAGUCAGGUAAUUCAGGUUUUAUUCUACUUACUAGGGAAUGCAUCAUCCAUCAGGUGAGGUAAUCUCUGUGAGUACUCUUAGAAUUGUCCCCAGGGUCCCCAGAUUUGAGCAGUCUUGCAGACCUAGCUUUCAUCAGCAGCUGAGACACAAGCUGGAACUAAUGCCUAAUGUGCUAGGCACCUGAGGUGAGGGAGAAUACAAUCCACAGGAGCUGAUGAGAGGAGAUGGCCUGGGCCUCACAGGUGGCUCUGGAUGGCUCCUUGCAAAGACACCCUCCUUGCCUGGCUCACUGCUCUGUGCCUCGUUUUCUCAUCUGUAACACGGGAACCCCAUAGUCCCAGGGUCAUGUGUUGUCCUGAAGGGUAAAUGAAUGGAUGUCUGUUAAAUAACCCAACACAUUAAAUGCUGUAGCAGCCCAAUCAAUAUCAGCUGACAUCGACUAAACUGUUCUAUGUGCCAGGUGCCGUGAUAGAUGCUUUUCAGCCAUUAUCUCAGCAGUUCUCGCAACAGCCUCUCAGGUGAGUCCUAAGCAUUGAUUAAGUGUUUGCUGAGGAUUUACCAAGGGCCAGGCACUUUCUGGACACAGGGAAUAAGAGACUCUACCCUUGAAGUAUUUUUAUUCUAGAGGGUUGAAGCUAGACUUCUCAUGUACCAUCGACCUCUGUGAGAUUUCCCUCUCCAUGAGAAUAUUCCGCUGUGUUGGAUAGACCUCUUUCUGCUUAUCUGUUGAUGGACGGUGAGAACGUGAUGUUGAGUGACCAAGUGGACACUAAGGAUCAUUUAUUUUGCAUCCUAUUUAUGCAAAAUGCCCCAGGACAGAGAGUGCAUCUGUGCUUAUCUUGGGCUGAAGUGAGAGUGGGAAAGAAAUAGGGAGUACCUGCUAGGGGAGUUUCUGUUUAGGAUGAUGAAAAUAUUCAGAAUGUAUGUAUCUGUGAACAUACUAAAAUCCCUCAAUUGCACUUUUAAUCCAUGAAUCAUCGGGGAUGUGAACUGUAGCUGAACAAAGCUGCUUAAAACAAACAACAAAAACAGGGAAGAGUUUCCCACCAUCCGAGGCACAGUCUGGAAACAGCCAGACUGGCCCAGCUGGAGUAAGGUGGUGGAGAGGGCUCCCAGGAGAGUUUAUAUCUUUGGGAUUUGAUCAGGUUCCAAAGCUGGUUGGGGGUGGGUUUUGUUAUCUCCUGGAUCGUUUCUCCGUCGUGAGUAUCAGACAGAUGUCAGGGCUUUGAGGAAGAGAAGAGGAGCCCUGGCUGUCCACGAACUGCCCAGCGCUCCCAGGUGGUCUUGAUGUGCUCCUAUCUAUAUCAGCCAUGCCAUAGGACACAAAGUUCUGACAAGGCCCCUCAGAGAUCCCGUGUCACUCUUCCUGGACCUCUUACAAAGGUGAGUUUUAUUUUGCUUGUUUAUUUUUCCCUGUUGGGUUGCUAAGAAAGUAGGCGGGAAGUCUGGAGAAGGGGACCUGGGGGAGAUGUGGGAGAACAGCCCUUGUCCAGGGCCCAUUGGAGCAGCCAGAUCAAGCUGUGUCUGAGGUUUUGCUGCUACUAGGUUUUCCAGUUGUGUGAAUCUUUUUUGGGGGUGUGGGGGUGGCAGGGAUUGAAUUCAGGGGCACUCGACCACUGAGCCCCAUCCCUAGCCCUAUUUUGUAUUUUAUUUAGAGACAGGGUCUCACUGAGUUGCUUAGCCCCUCAUUUUUGCUGAGGCUGGCUUUGAACUUGUGAUCCUCCUGCCUCAGCCUCCUGAGCUGCUGGGAUUUUAGGCAUGUGCCACCCCACCCGGUAUGAACCAAUAAUCUUUAAGAAUUUUAAAAAGUUGAUCAUGGUGAUGGUGGCAUGAUUCUCUUACCUAACAGAAUUGAAUUGUACCCUUUAAGAGGUUGAAUUCUACAACAUACAUGUUAUGCCUGAAUUAAAAAAAAAAAAACACAAGAGAAGCCCUAUGACCAGAAUCACACUCAGAGGGUUUUUCUUGAAACGUAAAUAAAAGCAGUUCACCCAGUCUGCAGAGGGUGGCAGACACAUAGCCUCCCUGAGGAGAUACGUGUCCAUUUUAUAGAUGGAAAGAUAAACACUCUCCCCAAAAGUAAUUCAGCAUGAUCCUCUGCAUAAAUGAGUGACGAGGCAAUGAAUUAAAGUGAUUAAUACUUUCUAGCCCAUGACCUAGUCUUUGAAAACACCGUCUCUCCUUAUGCCCUGUCCAGAUGUCAAAACCAUGCCACCAGUUGACUGAUCUAAGUUAUUCUAACACAUUAGGCCUGCUUAUCUUUUUUUUUUAAAUUUUUAAUUUAUUCUUUAGUUUUCAGUGGACACAACAUCUUUGUUUGUAUGUGGUGCUGAGGAUCGAACCUUGGCCCCAUGCAUGCCAGGCAAGCACACUACCGCUUGAGCCACAUCCCCAGCCCCCGGCCUGCUUAUCUUUGAGCCUGGCCUGGCUGAGGAUCAAACCCAAUGCCUCACACAUACAAGGCAAGUGCUCUACCACUGAGCUACAGCAUUUCCAGUCACAAGCAUCUCAAAAAAGGUAUGGGAAAGUCUCUGUGGAUGUUACAUCUCUUGCUUUGGAUUUUUAUAGCUGAUCAAAACUUUUCUACAGACACCAGGGAUGUAGCUCAGUGGUAGAGCACUUGCCUACCAUGCUUGAGGUCCUGGGUUCAAUUACCAGGGCCAUACAACAAAAUAAAAACAAAGACAAAAACAAAAGCCAACAAAACCCAAACCAACAAGUCUUCUCUUACAAUUCAAACUGGCUUAAGUAAAAAAGUUAUAAAAAUAUGAAAUCCAGGAUAUGGACUUCAGGUAUAGCUAGAUCCAGGGUUCAGCAAUAUCUUCUGACAUUUUCUGUUGUAAUUUCCUCAGCUCCUAGUUUGUACAAGGUAGAUGUCACUUUCAUUCAGGUGCUGCUCACAUGGUGGCAAAGGUAACCUCAGAGACUUCUAGAAUUAUAUCCUCCCAGUUCAACGACUCGGAAAAAAAAACAAUGGCUUUUCUUUUUUUAAAAUAUAUAUUUUAAGUUGUAGAUGCUCACAAUACCUUUAAUUAAUUAAUUAGUUUACUUAUUUAUUUUUGUUGUGCUGAGGAUUGAACCCAGUGUCUUGCACAUACAAGGCAAGCGCUUUACCACUGAGAUACAGCCCCAGCCCAAUCAAUGACUUUGAAUUGCUUACCUGAGAACAUAUGGCUGCCCCAGGUCCAAUCACUGUACUUGGGGAGAUGAACGUUGUGGAUUGGUCAGGCUUAGCACAUCCUCCUUACCACAGGAGGAUGAGGGCAAGCUACCUGAAUGAUAUGGGAUAAGAGAGAAGGGUGGUGGAUGUUCAUGGAAAAUGAGGGUGUUCUCGCAGGGGAGAAUGAAUGUUGCAAGGAAUGUUGAACAUUUUUUUAUAUAUUUGAGAAAUUUAUGUUUAGUUAUUUUUAAAAAAUAUUUAUUUAUUUAUUUUUAGUCGUACACAAUACCUUUAUUUUGUUUAUAUAUUUGUAUGUGGUGCUGAGGAUCGAACCCAGGGCCUUGCAUAUGCUAGGCAAGCACUCUACUGCUGAGCCACAACCCCAGCCCGUAGUUCUUUUGCCAAUUUAUGAUUGGGUUAUUUGGUGUUAAGUUUUUUGAGUUCUUUAUAUAUUUUGGAUAUUAAUCCUCUGUUAGAAAAGUAGCUGGCAAAGACUUUCUCUCAUUCUGUAGGCUCUCUUUACACUCUAAAUCAUUUCCUUUGGAAAAGGUUCCAUGAGCUGCUAAGAAACUGAGUUGAACAGUUUUUGGGUGAAAUAUUUUGUAGAUGUCUGUUAGGUUCAGUUGAUUUGUAGUAUUAUUUAGGUUGGAAUUUUUUUUGUUUGUUUUUAUGCUUGGAUGACCCGUCUACUGGUGAUUACACUGUGUUGAAAUCACCCAAUAUUAUCGUAUUAGGGUUUAUCUAAGAUUUAAUGUCAAGAAGUACUUUUUCCAUAUGAUUAGGUACACUGACAUUGGGGUGCAAAUAUUUACUAUCAUUAUAUUUUCUUGUUGGAUUUAUUCUUUUGCCAAUAUGUAGUGGCAUUUUUUUGUCUCUUUUGAUUAAUUUUUGCUCGAAAUCUGCUUUAUCAGAUAUGAGAAUAACUACUCCUGCUUGUUUUUGGAUUCUGUUUGCAUGAGUUCUGCCCCCACCCCCAUCCUUUUAAUUUCAACCCCUUGGGUGUUUUUACCUAUGAGAUGAGUCUCUAGACAUUGUUGGAGCUUGAUUUUUAAUCCAUUCUUCUGACCUAUGUUUUAUAAUUGGAGAGUUGAGACCAUUUGCAUUCAGUGUUAUUAAGGAUAGAUGUUCCG
rnacentral:lncRNA from 1 species